UCUGGAGUACACUGCCUCUGGGUGUGUGGCUCAAGCUGCCAAUAACAAAAUCUGAAUUUGUUCCUAUAGCAGUAAAGGAAGGGUUUCAGUACCACCAUGCAGAAAGCGAAUAUGUCAUGAUGACAUAUUGGAUUCCUGAAGAACCUUGCUUGCUCCCAUCUAAUGCCUCCCAUCAAGUUGGAGUUGGGAGUUUUGUGAUAAACGAAAACAAUGAGGUGCUAGUAGUACAG